GAUGAACGCUGGCGGCGUGCCUAAUACAUGCAAGUCGAGCGAAUGGAUUAAGAGCUUGCUCUUAUGAAGUUAGCGGCGGACGGGUGAGUAACACGUGGGUAACCUGCCCAUAAGACUGGGAUAACUCCGGGAAACCGGGGCUAAUACCGGAUAACAUUUUGAACCGCAUGGUUCGAAAUUGAAAGGCGGCUUCGGCUGUCACUUAUGGAUGGACCCGCGUCGCAUUAGCUAUUUGGUGAGGUAACGGCUCACCAAGGCAACGAUGCGGAGCCGACCUGGGAGGGGGAUCGGCCACACUGGGACUGAAACACGGCCCAGACUCCUACGGGAGGCAGCAGUAGGGAAUCUUCCUAAAUGGACGAAAGUCUGACGGGGCAACGCCGCGUGAGUGAUGAAGGCUUUCGGGUCGUAAAACUCUGUUGUUAGGGAAGAACAAGUGCUAGUUGAAUAAGCUGACACCUUGACGGUACCUAACCAGAAAGCCACGGCUAACUACGUGCCAGCCGCCGCCGUAA
rnacentral:rRNA from 1 species